rnacentral:rRNA from 1 species
UACGGAGGAUGCAAGCGUUAUCCGGAUUUAUUGGGUUUAAAGGGUGCGUAGGCGGCUUUUUAAGUCAGCGGUGAAAUUUUGCAGCUUAACUGUAACAGUGCCGUUGAUACUGCAUGGCUAGGAUUUGGUUGCUGUGGGUGGAAUGUGUGGUGUAGCGGUGAAAUGCUUAGAUAUCACACAGAAUAUCGAUUGCGAAGGCAGCUCACAAAGCCAAGAUUGACGCUGAGGCACGAAAGUGUGGGGAGUCAAACA